AAUAGAUACCCAGGUAGUCCACGCCCUAAACGUUGCGAACUAGGUGUUGGCGAGAUUGACCUCGUCAGUGCCGCAGCUAACGCAUUAAGUUCGCCGCCUGGGAAGUACGGUCGCAAGAUUAAAACUCAAAGGAAUAGGCGGGGGCCCGCACAAGCAGCGGAGCGUGUGGUUUAAUUCGAGGCUACGCGAAGAACCUUACCUGGGCUUGACAUGUUUUGGAAAUCUCGGUGAAAGCCGGGCCCUCCCGCAAGGGACCAUUGCACAGGUGGUGCAUGGCUGUCGUCAGCUCGUGCCGUGAGGUGUUGGGUUAAGUCCCGCAACGAGCGCAACCCUCGUUCUAUGUUGCCAGCACGUGAUGGUGGGGACUCAUAGGAGACUGCCGGGGUCAACUCGGAAGAAGGUGGGGACGACGUCAAAUCAUCAUGCCCCUUAUGUCUUGGGCUUCACGCAUGCUACAAUGGCCGGUACAAAGGGUUGCGAUACUGUGAGGUGGAGCUAAUCCCAAAAAGCCGGUCUCAGUUCGGAUUGGGGU
rnacentral:rRNA from 1 species